UAAUACGAAGGGGGCUAGCGUUGCUCGGAAUCACUGGGCGUAAAGCGCACGUAGGCGGACUCUUAAGUCAGGGGUGAAAUCCUGGAGCUCAACUCCAGAACUGCCUUUGAUACUGGGAGUCUUGAGUUCGGGAGAGGUGAGUGGAACUGCGAGUGUAGAGGUGAAAUUCGUAGAUAUUCGCAAGAACACCAGUGGCGAAGGCGGCUCACUGGCCCGAUACUGACGCUGAGGUGCGAAAGCGUGGGAGCAAACAGGAUUAGAUACCCUGGUAGUCCACGCUGUAAACGAUGGAUGCUAGCCGUUGGCGGGUUUACUCGUCAGUGGCGCAGCUAACGCAUUAAGCAUCCCGCCUGGGGAGUACGGUCGCAAGAUUA
rnacentral:rRNA from 1 species